GUACACGCUGUGACUAGCAUAUCAAUAAGCGGAGGAAAAGAAACUAACAAGGAUUCCCCUAGUAACGGCGAGUGAAGCGGGAAGAGCUCAAAUUUGAAAUCUUAAAGGGUUUCCCUUUACGAAUUGUAGUUUAAAGAAGUGUUUUCUGUUGAGGUUUUGGUAAAAGUUCUUUGGAAUAGGACAUCAUAGAGGGUGAGAAUCCCGUAUUUGACCUUUACUUUCAACUUUGUGAUACACUUUCAAAGAGUCGGAUUGUUUGGGAAUGCAGUCCAAAAUGGGUGGUAAAUUUCAUCUAAAGCUAAAUAUUGGCGAGAGACCGAUAGCGAACAAGUACCGUGAGGGAAAGAUGAAAAGAACUUUGAAAAGAGAGUUAAACAGUACGUGAAAUUGUCAAAAGGGAAGCGUUUGACACCAGUGUUGUUUUUCUGAAAAUCAAUUAAAGAACUGUUUAUGCUAAGCUGUUUAGACUUUAUCAGCUAUCUGUUUAGUUUUGAGCUUUUCUUUAAUGCACUUUUCAGUUAACAAGUCAACAUCAAUUUCUUUUGCUGUAAAAAAGCUUGAGGAAGGUGGCUUGAGAUUCGUCUUAAGUGUUUAUAGCCUCUUGCCUAUGCAGUCGGAGAGAUUGAGGUCUGCAGCGUAGAUCCUUCGGGGCUAAAUGCAAUUUGAGCUAAGUUAUAGCAUUUUAUAGACAACUUGUUGACUAUGAUUUGUCUUGUAGCUUACUCGCUUAUGUUAUUUUACCUACGCUUAGGAUGUUGACGCGCGUGUGUGCGUG
rnacentral:rRNA from 1 species